rnacentral:rRNA from 1 species
CUCCCACCCGUGUUUACUGUACCUUAGUUGCUUCGGCGGGCCCGCCAUUCAUGGCCGCCGGGGGCUCUCAGCCCCGGGCCCGCGCCCGCCGGAGACACCACGAACUCUGUCUGAUCUAGUGAAGUCUGAGUUGAUUGUAUCGCAAUCAGUUAAAACUUUCAACAAUGGAUCUCUUGGUUCCGGCAUCGAUGAAGAACGCAGCGAAAUGCGAUAACUAGUGUGAAUUGCAGAAUUCCGUGAAUCAUCGAGUCUUUGAACGCACAUUGCGCCCCCUGGUAUUCCGGGGGGCAUGCCUGUCCGAGCGUCAUUGCUGCCCAUCAAGCACGGCUUGUGUGUUGGGUCGUCGUCCCCUCUCCGGGGGGGACGGGCCCCAAAGGCAGCGGCGGCACCGCGUCCGAUCCUCGAGCGUAUGGGGCUUUGUCACCCGCUCUGUAGGCCCGGCCGGCGCUUGCCGAACGCAAAUCAAUCUUUUUCCAGGUUGACCUCGGAUCAGGUAGGGAUACCCGCUGAACUUAAGCAUAUC